GGCUAAAGAAGAAAAACGUGACAUCACAGCUAACAGCAUUAGCACCCCACAGAAUUCAACGUGUUUGGAGAGACGUGUGGUGCGCAGGAACAAACAUAUACAACAAUGUGCUGCACUCAGGAGAGGACAACAGUUUGCUUGAGCUGUCAAACAUGUUGGAUAACUUCUGUUGUCACUAUUUAUUUAUCCCAAGACUACAACUAAGUUUUCACACCAUCAGCAGUGGCUGAGAUGACCAUUCACUCAGAACUGAGAGGAAUCUGACACUUAUGGGAGAUGGGAAGCAUCCAGCAUGCUGUGGUAGAACCAGAAAUCACAGAGGGACUCUGCCUGCCUCAUAUUGACAGUGGACUGCUGGAUGACCCACACUGUG